GUGCCAGCAGCCGCGGUAAUACGUAGGGUGCGAGCGUUAAUCGGAAUUACUGGGCGUAAAGCGUGCGCAGGCGGUUAUACAAGACAGGCGUGAAAUCCCCGGGCUUAACCUGGGAAUGGCGCCUGUGACUGUAUAGCUAGAGUGUGUCAGAGGGGGGUAGAAUUCCACGUGUAGCAGUGAAAUGCGUAGAUAUGUGGAGGAAUACCAAUGGCGAAGGCAGCCCCCUGGGAUAACACUGACGCUCAUGCACGAAAGCGUGGGGAGCAAACAGGAUUAGAUACCCUGGUAGUCCACGCCCUAAACGAUGCUGACUAGUUGUUGGGAAUUUACAUUCUCAGUAACGUAGCUAACGCGUGAAGUCAGCCGCCUGGGGAGUACGGUCGCAAGAUUAAAACUCAAAGGAAUUGACGGGG
rnacentral:rRNA from 1 species